rnacentral:rRNA from 1 species
GAGGAUUCGAGCGUUAUCCGGAUUUAUUGGGUUUAAAGGGUGCGUAGGCGGACCAAUAAGUCAGUGGUGAAAUACAUCAGCUUAACUGAUGCACUGCCAUUGAUACUGUUGGACUAGAAUAUAAAUGGUGCAGGCGGAAUGAAUCAUGUAGAGGUGACAUUCAUAGAUAUGAUUCAGAACACCGAUCGCGAAGGCAGCUUGCAAAGAUAUUAUUGACGCUGAUGCACGAAAGCGUGGGUAGCGAACAGGA